CAAGUACGUGUACUUCUUUGAGGCCUGCCGGCUGCUGCAGAAGAUGAUUGACAUCUCCCUGGAUGGCUUCCUGCUGACUCCGGUGCAGAAGAUCUGCAAGUACCCUCUGCAGCUGGCCGAGCUGCUCAAAUACACGCACCCCCAGCACAGGGACUUCAAGGAUGUUGAAGCCGCCUUGCAUGCCAUGAAGAACGUGGCCCAGCUCAUCAACGAGCGGAAGCGGAGACUUGAGAACAUCGACAAGAUUGCUCAGUGGCAGAGCUCCAUAGAGGACUGGGAGGGAGAAGAUCUCUUGGUCAGGAGCUCAGAACUCAUCUACUCGGGGGAGCUGACUCGAGUUACACAGCCUCAAGCCAAAAGCCAGCAGAGAAUGUUUUUUCUCUUUGACCACCAGCUCAUCUACUGUAAGAAGGUACCAGAGCUGCUCUGCCCUGCUGCCCCAAGUUGAGCAAGUGGAGGGAGGGGAGCUGAGGGCUGGGAGCAGCUGCCCAGAAGACAG
rnacentral:sRNA from 1 species